AGAGUUUGAUCCUGGCUCAGGACGAACGCUGGCGGCGUGCUUAACACAUGCAAGUCGAACGGUGAACCGCCUCGGGCGGGGAUCAGUGGCGAACGGGUGAGUAACACGUGGGUAACCUGCCCUCCACUCUGGGAUAACUCCGGGAAACCGGGGCUAAUACCGGAUACGACCUGAGGCGGCAUCGCCUCGGGUGGAAAGUU
rnacentral:rRNA from 1 species